GGUGGGAGGGCGGUGAAUACAAUACCCUUCGGGGGAAUAAACCCGCCUGUCUCUUUUCAGGUUCUAAACCUCCCGCCACCAGUGG
rnacentral:ncRNA from 1 species